rnacentral:lncRNA from 1 species
CACCUCUGGAAACCUAUUCAGAGAAAGAGACCUCUCAGCUGGCAAAUUGUUAUUUCAUCAUUUGUGUCAAGGACUAAAGCUAUAUACUGGGCUACCUUCAGCACAGUUAUCUGGAACUCACCACAAAAUUUAAGGAUCUGUACAGGAUGGUGAAGGCCAAAUCUUCAAGGUUUCCAAAACCUAAAACCAGCCUUUCCUUUCUCUGCACUGCUUCUUACCACUUCCAGCAUACAAGGGUGCAAUGCAGACUCUUAAGGACUUCAAGAGUAAAAAUAAAAAGGUGAUAUUUUGGCUAGGACAAAACCAUAUAUCCGAAAACUAGAGAGCAUUUGGACUGAGAGAAGAACUUGAUGCUUAACACCCUACAUUGUGAGGUUUGUUUCAAUUCAUAUCUGAACUGCAAGACAGGUAUUAAAGCUGUUAUAUUUGUCUACAUGGAAAAAAAAAAAUAGUUUGCCCUUUCUUUCUUCACUCAAUGUGUCAUUUACAGAACCUUUGCACUGUAAUCUUUAGAUUAAUUUCUUCCUGGCAAAUAAAUUGUUUGCUUCUAUGUCCA